rnacentral:rRNA from 1 species
UACGAAGGGGGCUAGCGUUGUUCGGAAUCACUGGGCGUAAAGCGCAUGUAGGCGGGUCUUUAAGUCAGGGGUGAAAUGCCAGGGCUCAACCUUGGAACUGCCUUUGAUACUGGAGACCUUGAGUCCGGGAGAGGUGAGUGGAACUGCGAGUGUAGAGGUGAAAUUCGUAGAUAUUCGCAAGAACACCAGUGGCGAAGGCGGCUCACUGGCCCGGUACUGACGCUGAUAUGCGAAAGCGUGGGGAGCAAACGGG